CACGUAGGGUGCGAGCGUUGUCCGGAAUUAUUGGGCGUAAAGAGCUCGUAGGCGGUUUGUCGCGUCUGCUGUGAAAACUCGGGGCUUAACCCCGGGCCUGCAGUGGGUACGGGCAGACUAGAGUGCGGUAGGGGAGACUGGAAUUCCUGGUGUAGCGGUGAAAUGCGCAGAUAUCAGGAGGAACACCGAUGGCGAAGGCAGGUCUCUGGGCCACUACUGACGCUGAGAAGCGAAAGCAUGGGGAGCGAACAGG
rnacentral:rRNA from 1 species